rnacentral:rRNA from 1 species
AACGAACGCUGGCGGCAGGCUUAACACAUGCAAGUCGAGCGCCCUCUUCGGAGGGAGCGGCGGACGGGUGAGUAACGCGUGGGAACGUGCCCUUUUCUCCGGAAUAGCCUCGGGAAACUGAGAUUAAUGCCGGAUACGCCCUUUUGGGGAAAGAUUUAUCGGAGAAGGAUCGGCCCGCGUUGGAUUAGAUAGUUGGUGGGGUAACGGCCUACCAAGUCUACGAUCCAUAGCUGGUUUGAGAGGAUGAUCAGCCACACUGGGACUGAGACACGGCCCAG